AAUGAACGCUGGCGGCGCGCCUAAUACAUGCAAGUCGAGCGAGAAGACGUAGCAAUACGUUUGUAAAGCGGCGAACGGGUGAGGAAUACAUGGGUAACCUACCCUCGAGUGGGGAAUAACUAGCCGAAAGGUUAGCUAAUACCGCGUACGCUCCUUGGACUUCGGUUCAGGGAGGAAAGCGAUACCGUGGGUAUCGCGCUCUUGGUUGGGCUCAUGUCCUAUCAGCUUGUUGGUGAGGAACGGCUCACCAAGGCUUCGACGGGUAGCUGGUCUGAGAGGACGAUCAGCCACACUGGCACUGCGACACGGGCCAGACUCCUACGGGAGGCAGCAGUGGGGAAUUUGGACAAUGGGGGCAACCCUGAUCCAGCCAUUCCGCGUGAGUGAAGAAGGCC
rnacentral:rRNA from 1 species